UCCCGCUCUCUAGAUACUCCAUCCCAAUGCCUCUCCCUUUUAGAAAAAAAGAAGAAGAUCCGGGAGGCAGAAGCCACACGCUUACACCCUUUUCCCUUCGUUAUCUCUUGCAUUUCUCUCUCUCUCGCUCACUCUGUCUCUCUCUCUCUGAUUCUAUCUCGCGUCUAACCUCCCAUUGUUGAGAUUCAAACGUGGUCAAAGGGGCGCGGCGGAGGCGACUCGAGAUUGGGAGAGAAAUACAUUCACGCUCACACAUCAUCAUGAUGCAUAGCCUACGGAUCAAGAUAAUGAGAGUUAUAAGUGCCAAAAAGAGCUGGCUUCCCACAGGAGCCUCCUCACUACUCCCAGCCAGACUUGAGCUCCAGCCCCUGGGGAGACAGACCCACUCCGCGCCCACUGCAGGCCAGGCUUCCAGCACCACUACUUGGUUCCAGAUGCCCAGACUCUAGAUGGGAAGUGGAUCCCGUACAGACCCUGACAGUCUGUCUGGUCCGUGAUCGGCUGGAGGUACUGCAUGAGUUAAUGAUGAUGAUGACACGUGUGACUUCCUCAAUGGAGCAACUCAGCUGAUCGCACAGAACUUCCUCUUUGACAAGGGAAUCUGCUGCUGCCUCAAGUCACUACACCUGGAGAGACUUUAGUGUUGAGCAGUAUGGGUCUGGAGUUGUAUUCGGAAUGUGUAACAUUAAACGUAAUAAAUAUUAAUCUGCCCUGUU